rnacentral:lncRNA from 1 species
UUUUAUUUAGUGCUAAAAGUGUUACUAACAGCGCUCUAAUAUAUUGUAGAACUUAUUAAGGCACCACAGUUUCGUACAACACAUGGCGACUUGUCGUGGGGCUUUCUUCUUGUGUGUAUCCGUUAUUGCAGCGAGUUUUGUAGAGGGACCUGUCUAACAUUACCAUGAAAUAGUUGGUAUUCUUGGUCAGAUUUAUCUGUGGAAAGUGUUACACGUAAUGACCAGCACAUUUGAGCGGUUUUUGCGGCUGUACUGGCGGUAUCAGCGCUGGUCGAACUACACCGAUUUCCUCAGCUAUAAUUCUUCCAUAAGGAGCCUCAUUUUUCGUCUUCCCGUGAGUGCCCAACUCGAGGUGUCCCACAGUCCUUUGAUGCAUAUCAAGUCCUGAUUGCACCUGUGACUUCAUACACAUCACUGAGUUCCCAAAUGUGGCGUACAGGAACAUGUGCAAACACAUUCUACAUCCCAAGAUAUGUUGCUGGAAGCGUUCAAUAAAUGCUGUUAAGUUUCACCA